UAAGCCUCUUAUAAUGGUGAAGUGUAUAUAAGAUUAUCGGGAUUUUGCGUCCUUUUGAAUUCACCGUAUAGUAACAUAAGAGGCUUAACUGUAUUUCUUUGUUUUGCUGGCCCAAUUUGUACUGAUAAGCAUUGAAUAGGCGAAACUACAAUAUUCAGCAGAGGUUACGGCCAAUCAAAGAAUGCAUUAGGCCUCUCUACAUCAUAAAUUUAUCCUGUAAUGUUUUCUUGUACGAGAAACUCUUGGCGCAGUGCAUCAUGGCUUAUUCUCAAGCAGUAAUAAUAAAAAAAACACAACUCGUAAACUUUUGUAUGUCAGUAAUCUGUUUACUUUCGUAUUUAUAUAAUGCUUAGACUAGGCUUUAUUUAAAAUUUGAUUUUUAAUAUAAACUUUAAUUUUUAAGUCCACACUAAUAUUUACAUAAAAGUAUUGUCUUAAAAUAUUCAUUAUGUUAACUCGUUUGAAAGUACAUAACUUGGAGUAACAUUUGCGCCUCACGUAAAUAUGAUAGAUGUGUAUGCAAACGUUUAGUAAUCUUUGCUACCAUUUUUGUUUGUUUGCUUAGAUUCAGAUCGCGGUUGGUCCUAUAAUAGAGCUCAGAAUUAUGAAGCUGGCGAGCCAAGUUCGAAUCCAUAAGAUACCAGAAACAUUCCUCGCACUUUAAGUUGUGAGUACGUUAUAAAAAUGACAGUCGAUCCAUUAGCGUGGAUGGUGGAUGAUAGGAAGCUCUGACUGGCUGUCUUCCAUGCGGUCAGUAGUUCAAAAUAAGCUCAUUAGUGCCCAUUAUCCUGUUUACAGUACUCUAAAACUUCUGCAAAAUAUUUGUCAUAUGUAGAAGGAACGAGCCAAGUUAAGUUUACAGUUGUGCACACGUAAACAAACCCUCAGUUGAAGCUUCGACUUGGAAGCGUGAAGACGUUCUUGCUCUGACUUGACCUACUUUUCUUCAAAGUGGGGUCCAAACAGCAGUGGAAAGAAUUGAUAUGGGAAAAAAAGAACAAGGGAAACAAAGUUCAUCUCUUUGAUCAGCGAUGGUUCAACAAAUACAUCCGUGAUGGAGGAAGAGAUUUCGUAUGUUCGGUAUGCCAUCAAUGGGGCAUUGGCUAUUGACCUUGUUGCUGUGGCCAAUAUUGCAACUGCAGACGGGGAAUCAAUCACAGCCUUGAUGAAAGCAUUGACCAGAUCUGUGUUCAAAGGAAGUCUGUUGGGUUUGGAUCAGAUGGGGCGGCGGUUAUGCUCGGGAGGAAUCAAGGAUUAGCUGCAAACCUGAAACAGAUCAGUCCACCUCUGUUGGCCAUACACUGCACUGCUCAUCGUCUUGAAAUUGCGUAUAAGGAUGCAAUGAAGAGUAUUCCGUUACUUGUCACACAAAGUUCAUUCCUCCUCAACAUUUACAAGUUCUACAGAACUGUUCACAAAAAGGGAGUGGAUUGAACUUAGCAACGGAGGCAGUAGAGGACGCUGUAGCAGUACCUAGGAGAGCUGGAGGAACUAGAUGGCUGCCUCAUCUGAAACUGUAUUUAAACAGAUAAUAAGAAGAUCCCACCUAUAUGAGAUAAAUUGCAACUGGAUCAAACUGGGAUCAUUUAGUCAAAGACUGAUUUGUAAAAUUGUAGCAUAGCAAGUUUCAUAAUUAGAACAGUUUGAAUGUUGAAGACUAUGUCAUUAAAUAUUUUUUUUUAAAUAACUGUAACCGUCAUUGCAAUCAGUCUCUUAUAACUCCAUUCUGUUUAUUUCCAUCCUUGAAAUAGCUUGAAACACACAACCAGGGUAUUUGACUGAUGCUAAGACCAAAGCCAAAGGCUUUCUUGAAGCUCCUAAAGCUGAUAGACAUGAUAAAGUUCUUCCAAUUUAUGCUUAAUGUGGUGGUAACACUGUCAUCUGUGUCAUUCACUUCACAGAAAACGAAUUCGACUGUGGCUUUUCUUAUCACUCUUCAGAAGUAUAAGACCAGGAAAACAACUCCUCAUCUAUAGGGUCUUAAGAAUGGUGAUUUGAAUGGUGAGAAAUUGAUAGGAACUGAAGAUAUUGAAGGUGACAUGACAUCUGUGCUAGAUCACCUUAAAGAGAGCCUCCAUGGACGAUUUGAAGACAUUACCAAUGGUGUCUUGGAGGCAAUGCAAAUUGUUAGCUUUAACUUCUGGCCAGAAGAUGACGCAGGGGUUAACUAUGCUAUAACCGAUACUGCAUGUAGCUUUUAGUAGUGUAGGUUCCAAAAGAAAUAUAUAAAUCAAUUUGAAUUUAUUUACAUAGUCAAAUUCCAUGGUAUUUUGUACAUUAGCUUAUAGCAAAAAGAAUUUAAAUGUUAUCUAAGCAUAUCUGAACUAGAAAAAAAAACAAUGAUAAUAAUGAUUGACUUUAUUUGCACAGGAAAGUGAAUGGAAAGAUUUAUAUAAAAUAAGCUGCUUUUGUGUAUAUAUUCAGUCCUUAACAUCAGAAAUAUCUCAACUAAUAAUAAAUGUUCUCAAGUAUUCAUUCUUACUUUUUUAUGUAAGAAUACUUUUCAGUCAGCAGUAUAUUGAUAAAUAUAAAAUAUAAGAAAGAAUAUGAAUAACACAAGGCUCUUUAUUUUCAGACUUUGGAAAUGAUGCUGUGGUAACUUUGUCCAACCACUUCCAUCCUAUCUUGAAGCAAGCUGGCAUUGAUGAAGAGAAGAUGAGUGUUGAGUGGGACCUUCUGAAAGCACGGAUGUAUUCAAAACAUAACAAGAAAGGCCAACCAUGGGCUGAUAUCAUCCCUAGGAUUAAGGAGGAACUACCUAAUAUCUGUGGCCUCUUUGACCUGAUAUUGUCUGUUGUAGCCAACCUUGCUGAGGCUGAGAGAGGAUUCAGCAAGAUGAAGAUGAUCAAGACCAACUUGAGAUCUUAUCUGUGAGCUUACAGGAUUAUUGAUCAGCUUCUGGUCAUGCUCCACUCACCUCCAAUAAGUGACUUUGACCCCAUAACAGCUAUCCAUCUUUGUAACUCACGAAAAAUACUUCGCUCAAGGAGACCAAAUACUGGCAGAGUACAGAUUGAGAAGCAGGUGCAUUUGAGUGAAGAAGAAGGGGAUGAAGGAAGAAUCCAAGAAAUGGAUGUUGGGACAUAAUUGGACACUGAUAUUGAUGUAUAUAAAUUUCCUUUCAUUAUUUAUUUUAUUUAGGAAAGGACACUACUUUAAAAGGACAUAUUACAUUGACAGUGAUGCAUAUUUUUAUGAACAUUUAUUUUGAUUAUUAAAGGGCAACAAGAAGUUACUGUUAUACCAUGUUGUACAGAGAAAUUAAAUAUCAUAUAUGAAAUAAAGAUCAUUUAAGUGGUAUGAAGAAAAAAAAAGGUUUGAGUUGUGUUUGUUUUCACGAAGUACCAGUUCAGAACAAAAUAAAUUGAGAUAUGUUGAUAUCUUUAGUUUCCUUCCAAUUUAUAUAACAUCCUCUAUUUAAUUCAGUGAUUUUUCUGAUAACCUCCACUUUUUACAAUGAGCUAUAGGUUUGGCCCUUAAAAUGCUUGCGGGCCUCUAAAAAUGUAUGUUUUGGGGACCCGGCUGGCUCCCUAAAAAAAAAGAAGUUAAACAUGAGCCAUGCAUAUUGAAGACUAUUAUUUGUGAAUCCAAACAAUAUGCAGCUAAUAAUGUAGAUAUUAAUGACUUAAAAGCUGUUUUAGAAAAAACAGUCGAACGCCAUUAACGUUACGUUCAUGAGAGCUGCGAUGUUAUUGGAAACGACAUUAUUUGGGACCCAAUUCCCCAUUAGUAUAAUGAUAUAAGUUGGAGUUGUGUUCCAGCAGCAUAAUUGAACGUCCUAUACAUAACAAAAGCAACGAAAAUUACAAAGUAUAGUACAAUAAUAAACAUUAAUAAAUAAUACGUACCAUUGUACAAUACUGACAAAAAACUUGAUAUGGUAAUGGUUUAGUAAUGCCAGUAAAGCUAACCCACUGAAGGAAUUUACAGAAAGAAUGUUUAG